AUUGAACGCUGGCGGCAUGCCUAGCACAUGCAAGUCGAACGGCAGCACGGUUAAGUACUUGUACUUAAUGGGUGGCGAGUGGCGAACGGGUGAGUAAUGCGCAGGAAUAUGCCUUAACGAGGGGGAUAACUUGGGGAAACUCAAGCUAAUACCGCAUAAGCUCUGAGGAGUAAAGCUGGGGACCUUCAGGCCUGGCGCUUUAAGAAUAGCCUGCGUCCGAUUAGCUAGUUGGUAGGGUAAAGGCCUACCAAGGCGACGAUCGGUAGCUGGUCUGAGAGGAUGAACAGCCACACUGGGACUGAGACACGGCCCAGACUCCUACGGGAGGCAGCAGUGGGGAAUAUUGGACAAUGGGGGCAACCCUGAUCCAGCAAUGCCGCGUGUGUGAAGAAGGCCUGAGGGUUGUAAAGCACUUUCAGUGGGGAGGAGGAUUGAUUGGUUAAGAGCUGAUUAAUUGGACGUUACCUACAGAAGAAGCACCGGCUAACUCCGUGCCAGCCGCCGCGGUAA
rnacentral:rRNA from 1 species